CCUCUGCCUCUGUCUCUGUCACACACACACACACACACACACACACACACACACACACACACACACACCCCAAACCCAGACAGCUCUCAGACCAGCCCUGGUCCCAACCUCUCUUCCCUUGCAGAGAACCUGGAAAAGGUCAAACCUCCCACGGUCACAGUGUUUGAACCAUCAGAAGCAGAGACCUCCCGCACCCAGAAGGCCACACUCGUGUGCCUGGCCACGGGCUUCUACCCCGACCACGUGGAGCUGAGCUGGUGGGUGAACGGGAAGGAGGUCCAGAAUGGGGUCAGCACGGACCCGCAGCCCUACAAGGAGCGGCCCAACGAGAAUGGCUCCAGCUACUGUCUGAGCAGCCGGCUGAGGGUGUCCUCUGCUUUCUGGCACAACCCUCGCAACCACUUUCGCUGCCAAGUCCAGUUCCAUGGGCUCGGGGACGACGACAAGUGGGAAAACACCAGCCGGCCCAAACCCAUCACCCAGAACAUCAGUGACGAGACCUGGGGCAGAGCAGACUGUGGCUUCACUUCAGUGGCCUAUCAGCAGGGCAUCCUGUCUGCCACCAUCCUCUAUGAGAUCCUGCUGGGGAAGGCCACCCUGUAUGCCGUGCUGGUCAGCGCCCUGGUGCUGAUGGCCAAGGUCAAGAGAAAGGGUUCCUGAAACCAGCUCAGAGGCAGAGCUAGGAACUUCCAGCUUCUAUUGCCCCAGUAUGGAUUCUCCUUUCUCCACUUCUAGCCGGUGCUUCUCAAGAGCUGUCUUCAUCUCUCUGUUCACCCCAAUAGCUACCCCCUAUGUUCAUGCACACCUGGACGCUCAUGACCCAAAUCUCCCUAACCCAGGGGGGACCCUAGCCUGACCAAAUUGACUGAAUCAAUAAAAAUGGCCUGUUCUGGCUUGACUCUGC